rnacentral:rRNA from 1 species
UAUGUGAUCGUCUCUCGCAUAUCAAUAAGCGGAGGAAAAGAAACUAACAAGGAUUCCCCUAGUAACGGCGAGUGAAGCGGGAAGAGCUCAAAUUUGAAAUCUUAAAGGGUUUCCCUUUACGAAUUGUAGUUUAAAGAAGUGUUUUCUGUUGAGGUUUUGGUAAAAGUUCUUUGGAAUAGGACAUCAUAGAGGGUGAGAAUCCCGUAUUUGACCUUUACUUUCAACUUUGUGAUACACUUUCAAAGAGUCGGAUUGUUUGGGAAUGCAGUCCAAAAUGGGUGGUAAAUUUCAUCUAAAGCUAAAUAUUGGCGAGAGACCGAUAGCGAACAAGUACCGUGAGGGAAAGAUGAAAAGAACUUUGAAAAGAGAGUUAAACAGUACGUGAAAUUGUCAAAAGGGAAGCGUUUGACACCAGUGUUGUUUUUCUGAAAAUCAAUUAAAGAACUGUUUAUGCUAGCUGUUUAGACUUUAUCAGCUAUCUGUUUAGUUUUGAGCUUUUCUUUAAUGCACUUUUCAGUUAACAAGUCAACAUCAAUUUCUUUUGCUGUAAAAAAGCUAGAGAAAGGUGGCUUGAGAUUCGUCUUAAGUGUUUAUAGCCUCUUGCCUAUGCAGUCGGAGAGAUUGAGGUCUGCAGCGUAGAUCCUUCGGGGCUAAAUGCAUUUGUGCUAAGUUAUAGCAUUUUAUAGACAACUUGUUGACUAUGAUUUGUCUUGUAGCUUACUCGCUUAUGUUAUUUUACCUACGCUUAGGAUGUUGAGUAGCGACAUACGCAC